rnacentral:rRNA from 1 species
GUGGGGAAUAUUGGACAAUGGGCGAAAGCCUGAUCCAGCCAUGCCGCGUGUGUGAAGAAGGUCUUCGGAUUGUAAAGCACUUUAAGUUGGGAGGAAGGGCAGUAAGUUAAUACCUUGCUGUUUUGACGUUACCGUCAGAAUAAGCACCGGCUAACUUCGUGCCAGCAGCCGCGGUAAUACGAAGGGUGCAAGCGUUAAUCGGAAUUACUGGGCGUAAAGCGCGCGUAGGUGGUUUUGUAAGUUGGAGGUGAAAUCCCCGGGCUCAACCUGGGAACUGCCUCCAAAACUGCAUGACUAGAGUACGGUAGAGGGUAGUGGAAUUUCCUGUGUAGCGGUGAAAUGCGCAGAUAUAGGAAGGAACACCAGUGGCGAAGGCGACUACCUGGACUGAUACUGACACUGAGGUGCGAAAGCGUGGGGAGCAAACAGGAUUAGAAACCCUAGUAGUCC